UUUCUGAUUUGAGCCUCUGGGGGAAGAGGCGUGGCCCCUGAUGACAGGUUUUGCCUGGGGCCUGGCAGGGACAGUGACAUCUCAGAAGGACUCCCUGGAGAGCCCCUCUCCCCUCUCAUCCACACUCAGACCAGAGGGGCCUCCGCCUGCCCUGUCCCUGGCCCCACCAUGAGCCCCUGCCUCCUGGGCUGUGUGGUCUUCUGUCUCCUGCAGGCAGGGGCGGUCCAUGCUGGUGUCACUCAGGACCCCAGUUUCCAGGUCGUGAGGAGAGGACAGAAGGCUACACUGACAUGUACUCAGGAUCUGGGUCAUGACUGCAUGUACUGGUACCGACAAGACCGAGAACAUGGGCUGAGGCUGAUCCAUUACUCAGUUGCUGCACCCGCCACGGAGAAAGGAGACAUACCCGAGGGCUACAGCGUCUCCAGACCAAGCACAGAGAACUUCCCUCUCACGCUGAAGUCUGCCAACCACUCCCAGACAUCUGUGUACUUCUGUGCCAGCAGUUACUCCACGGUGCUGCACGGCCACCUCCUUUCUGUGCCAAAAAGCAGAUGA